AGAGUGUGAUGCCUGGCUCAGAUGUGAACGCUGGCGGCGUGCCUAACACAUGCAAGUCGAGCGGUAACAGGUGUAGCAAUACAUGCUGACGAGCGGCGAACGGGCGAGUAAUGCUUUGGAAUCUUCCCAGUAGUGGGGAAUAACCAGUCGAAAGAUUGGCUAAUACCGCAUACGUCUGUAAAGGGAAAGCGGGGGCUCUUAUAAGACCUCACGCUAUUGGAUGAGCCAAAGUCGGAUUAACUAGAUUGGUGUGGGUUAUUGCCUACCCAGGGCCAACCAAUUCCCUUAGCUGGGUCUGGAAGAAGGACCGAACCCAGCCCCCCACCCGGAAAAUCUGAAGUACCACGGGGUCCCCGGGAUCUCCCAUAGCGAGGUAGGAGUAUUUCAGCAUAUUGGGAAACUAAUACCGGGAGCGGAAUGGGCGCCGGCAACAUUCCA
rnacentral:rRNA from 1 species